GGCUGUCGUCGGCUCGUGUCGUGAGAUGUCCGGUUAAGUCCGCUAACGAGCGCAACCCUCGCUGUGUGUUACAAGUGUCACACGGAACUGACCGGUCAUAACCGGAGGAAGUGGGGAUGACGUCAAGUCAGCAUGGCCUUUAUAUCCUGGGCUACACACACGCUACAAUGGGAAGGGACAAUAGGUUGCGAAGCCGCGAGGCGGAGCCAAUCCAGCAAAACUUCCCUCAGUUCAGAUUGCAGGCUGCAACUCGCCUGCAUGAAGUUGGAGUUGCUAGUAAACGCAGGUCAGCCAUACUGCGUUGAAUACGUUCCCGGGGCUU
rnacentral:rRNA from 1 species